GAUGAAGAACGCAGCGAAAUGCGAUAAGUAAUGUGAAUUGCAGAAUUCAGUGAAUCAUCGAAUCUUUGAACGCACAUUGCGCCCCCUGGUAUUCCGGGGGGCAUGCCUGUCCGAGCGUCAUUACAACCCUCAAGCUCAGCUUGGUAUUGGGCCCCGCCGACCCGGUGGGCCCUAAAGUCAGUGGCGGUGCCGUCCGGCUCCGAGCGUAGUAAUUCUUCUCGCUCUGGAGGUCCGGUCGUGUGCUCGCCAGCAACCCCCAAUUUUUUUCAGGUUGACCUCGGAUCAGGUAGGGAUACCCGCUGAACUUAAGCAUAUCAAUAGCGGAGGA
rnacentral:misc_RNA from 1 species